GAUGAACGCUGGCGGCGUGCCUAAUACAUGCAAGUCGAGCGAACAGACGAGGAGCUUACUCCUCUGACGUUAGCGGCGGACGGGUGAGUAACACGUGGAUAACCUACCUAUAAGACUGGGAUAACUUCGGGAAACCGGAGCUAAUACCGGAUAACAUGUUGAACCGCAUGGUUCAACAGUGAAAGACGGUCUUGCUGUCACUUAUAGAUGGAUCCGCGUCGCAUUAGCUAGUUGGUAAGGUAACGGCUUACCAAGGCAACGAUGCGUAGCCGACCUGAGAGGGUGAUCGGCCACACUGGAACUGAGACACGGUCCAGACUCCUACGGGAGGCAGCAGUAGGGAAUCUUCCGCAAUGGGCGAAAGCCUGACGGAGCAACGCCGCGUGAGUGAAGAAGGUCUUCGGAUCGUAAAACUCUGUUAUUAGGGAAGAACAAAUGUGUAAGUAACUAUGCACGUCUUGACGGUACCUAAUCAGAAAGCCGCGGCUAACUACGUG
rnacentral:rRNA from 1 species